UACGUAGGGGGCUAGCGUUGUCCGGAUUUAUUGGGCGUAAAGAGCGUGUAGGCGGCCAGGUAGGUCUGCUGUGAAAACUCGAGGCUUAACCUCGAGAUGUCGGCGGAAACCAUCUGGCUAGAGUCCGGAAGAGGAGAGUGGAAUUCCUGGUGUAGCGGUGAAGUGCGCAGAUAUCAGGAAGAACACCCGUGGCGAAGGCGGCUCUCUGGGGUAUUUCUGACGCUGAGGCACGAAAGCCAGGGGAGCGAACGGG
rnacentral:rRNA from 1 species